GCGAUUAUAACUUAGGUGGUUAAAGUACUAGUCUGUGGCUCUAGAAACAUGGGUUCGAGUCCCAUUAUUCGCC
rnacentral:tRNA from 1 species